rnacentral:tRNA from 1 species
GCGUCGGUGGCAGAGUGGUCAAAUGCAUUGGACUGUAAAUCCAACGACUUUAUGUCUACGCAGGUUCGAAUCCUGCCCGGCGCA